rnacentral:rRNA from 1 species
GAUGAACGCUAGCGGGAGGCUUAACACAUGCAAGUCGAGGGGCAGCAUAGGGUAGCAAUACUCUGAUGGCGACCGGCAAACGGGUGAGUAACGCGUAUGCAACCUACCCUGUACAGGGGGAUAACCCGGAGAAAUUCGGACUAAUAUCCCGUAAUAAUAUCCGGAGGCAUCUUUGGAUAUUUAAAGUUCCGACGGUACGGGAUGGGCAUGCGUAACAUUAACUGGUUGGUAAGGUAACGGCUUACCAAGGCUAUGAUGUUUAGGGGUCCUGAGAGGGUGGUCCCCCACACUGGUACUGAGACACGGACCAGACUCCUACGGGAGGCAGCAGUGAGGAAUAUUGGUCAAUGGGCGCAAGCCUGAACCAGCCAUCCCGCGUGCAGGAAGACGGCCCUAUGGGGUUGUAAACUGCUUUUCCAGGGAGAGAAACUUACGCACGUGUUGCGUGACUGACGGUACCCUGGGAAUAAGCAUCGGCUAACUCCGUG